rnacentral:rRNA from 1 species
GAUGAACGCUGGCGGCGUGCCUAAUACAUGCAAGUCGAGCGAACAGACGAGGAGCUUGCUCCUCUGACGUUAGCGGCGGACGGGUGAGUAACACGUGGAUAACCUACCUAUAAGACUGGGAUAACUUCGGGAAACCGGAGCUAAUACCGGAUAAUAUAUUGAACCGCAUGGUUCAAUAGUGAAAGACGGUUUUGCUGUCACUUAUAGAUGGAUCCGCGCCGCAUUAGCUAGUUGGUAAGGUAACGGCUUACCAAGGCAACGAUGCGUAGCCGACCUGAGAGGGUGAUCGGCCACACUGGAACUGAGACACGGUCCAGACUCCUACGGGAGGCAGCAGAAGGGAAUCUUCCGCAAUGGGCGAAAGCCUGACGGAGCAACGCCGCGUGAGUGAUGAAGGUCUUCGGAUCGUAAAAAUCUGUUAUUAGGGAAGAACAAAUGUGUAAGUAACUAUGCACGUCUUGACGGUACCUAAUCAGAAAGCCACGGCUAACUACGUG